CGCGAACUUACAUUACUGUAUUCAUUCUAAAUUAAACAAGUAUAUAUAUAUAUAUAUAUAUGUUCUAUGGCAUAUGUAGUCCACAAAUAAAACAUAUAUAUGUACAUUACUCAAUUCUGACGUAUAUAUGUGUGUACACAUAUACUUCAUUCUUUUUUCUGCGAUUAUUGCGCCACUAGCGAUCAUAUUGUUGAAUAGUCACCUGUUGAAUCCAACUAAAUUCUAUUAAACAAUUAUACAAAUUUCUUUCAUUUAAUGUAUAAAAAUAUUUAAUCUUCAUAUAAUUUCACUUAUAAUUAUUUUAUAAUAUAUCUAUGCUUCAUUAACAUUUAUUACACUACAUAUAAAGGUGAUACAAAGAAGAAUAAAAACACUUGUUUUACUUGAACAAUUAGGAAAUGAUGAUUGCUUCAUCCCAAGGACCAUAGAUGUUAUUUUUAAAUUGUUUACAUCUAAUAUACCAAAGUGGACAGAUGAAAUGAAUGAAUACUAUAACUAUGAUAAAAACAUAGGAGCAUACAUUAGACAUAGGAAAUAGUACAAAAAAUUGUACCGAAACAGUUAAAA